rnacentral:rRNA from 1 species
GUCUGGGAUGGACUCGCGGGCUUUUCAGCUUGUUGGUGAGGUAAUGGCUCACCAAGGCGACGACGGGUAGCCGGNCUGAGAGGGCGACCGGCCCACACUGGAACUGAGACACGGUCCAGACUCCUACGGGAGGCAGCAGUGGGGAAUAUUGCACAAUGGGCGCAAGCCUGAUGCAGCGACGCCGCGUGGGGGAUGAAGGCCUUCGGGUUGUAAACCCCUUUCAGCAGGGAAGAAGCGAAAGUGACGGUACCUGCAGAAGAAGCGCCGGCUAACUACGUGCCAGCAGCCGCGGUAAUACGUAGGGCGCAAGCGUUGUCCGGAAUUAUUGGGCGUAAAGAGCUCGUAGGCGGUCUGUCGCGUCUGCUGUGAAAACCCGAGGCUCAACCUCGGGCCUGCAGUGGGUACGGGCAGACUAGAGUGUGGUAGGGGAGACUGGAAUUCCUGGUGUAGCGGUGGAAUGCGCAGAUAUCAGGAGGAACACCAAUGGCGAAGGCAGGUCUCUGGGCCACUACUGACGCUGAGGAGCGAAAGCAUGGGGAGCGAACAGGAUUAGAUACCCUGGUAGUCCAUGCCGUAAACGGUGGGCACUAGAUGUGGGGCUCUUUCCAUGAGUUCCGCGUCGCAGCUAACGCAUUAAGUGCCCCGCCUGGGGAGUACGGCCGCAAGGCUAAAACUCAAAGGAAUUGACGGGGGCCCGCACAAGCGGCGGAGCAUGCGGAUUAAUUCGAUGCAACGCGAAGAACCUUACCAAGGCUUGACAUAUACCCUUUAUCCCUAGAGAUAGGGAGUCCUUCGGGGGGGUAUACAGGUGGUGCAUGGUUGUCGUCAGCUCGUGUCGUGAGAUGUUGGGUUAAGUCCCGCAACGAGCGCAACCCUCGUCCUAUGUUGCCAGCACGUAAUGGUGGGGACUCAUAGGAGACUGCCGGGGUCAACUCGGAGGAAGGUGGGGAUGACGUCAAAUCAUCAUGCCCCUUAUGUCUUGGGCUUCACGCAUGCUACAAUGGCCGGUACAAAGGGCUGCAAUACCGCAAGGUGGAGCGAAUCCCAAAAAGCCGGUCUCAGUUCGGAUUGAGGUCUGCAACUCGACCUCAUGAAGUUGGAGUCGCU